rnacentral:rRNA from 1 species
CCUACGGGAGGCAGCAGUGAGGAAUAUUGGUCAAUGGACGAGAGUCUGAACCAGCCAAGUAGCGUGAAGGAUGACUGCCCUAUGGGUUGUAAACUUCUUUUAUAAAGGAAUAAAACGAGGCACGUGUGCCUUUUUGCAUGUACUUUAUGAAUAAGGAUCGGCUAACUCCGUGCCAGCAGCCGCGGUAAUACGGAGGAUCCGAGCGUUAUCCGGAUUUAUUGGGUUUAAAGGGAGCGUAGAUGGGUUGUUAAGUCAGUUGUGAAAGUUUGCGGAUCAACCGUAAAAUUGCAAUUUAUACUGGAAGUCUUGAGUACAGUUGAGGUAGGCGGAAUUCGUGGUGUAGCGGUGAAAUGCUUAGAUAUCACGAAGAACCCCGAUUGCGAAGGCAGCUUACUAAACUGUGACUGACAUUGAUGCUCGAAAGUGUGGGUAUCAAACAGGAUUAGAUACCCUGGUAGUC